GUAAGGAAUAUUGGUCAAUGGGCGCAAGCCUGAACCAGCCAUGCCGCGUGCAGGAAGACGGCCCUACGGGUUGUAAACUGCUUUUGCGCCGGAAUAAACCCUUUUACGAGUAAGAGGCUGAAUGUACGGCGAGAAUAAGGAUCGGCUAACUCCGUGCCAGCAGCCGCGGUAAUACGGAGGAUCCAAGCGUUAUCCGGAUUUAUUGGGUUUAAAGGGUGCGUAGGCGGCCUGUUAAGUCAGGGGUGAAAGCCGGUAGCUCAACUACCGAAGUGCCUUUGAUACUGAUGGGCUUGAAUGCAGCUGAAGUGGGCGGAAUGUGACAAGUAGCGGUGAAAUGCAUAGAGAUGUCACAGAACACCGAUUGCGAAGGCAGCUCACUAAAGUGCGAUUGACGCUGAGGCACGAAAGCGUGGGGAUCAAACAGG
rnacentral:rRNA from 1 species